AGAGCAGCCAAGAUGGCAGAGAGUAGUUUUGGGUCUGUUAAACUGCAGAGACGUUCAGAUGGUAGUCAGCAACUUCUGGGUCUGUGAUUAAUAACGUGAGAGUCUGGACAGUUCUUCAUCAUAGAAGGCCAGAAAUAAGCUGGGGGUUUCUAAGCAAGUUAUUACACAUUUGUUUGUCGGAGUGGUAGGAUUCCUCCUUGGUUUUGUGGUUUGUACUGCAAAACAAAAGGCAUAAUUAGAUUUUAGCCUGGUUAAGUGUGCUCAUCCAAUUAUUGGAAUGUGAAGAGUUUGCUGCCAUCAUACAUGGGUUGCAUUGCAGCACCUGGAGUCCAGGUCCACAUCUGGAUGACUCCCUGCAGGUGAGGCAGUGACCUACCUUCCCUUCUUCAGCUUUUACUGACAGUAUAUCAAAAACAUGAAAACUACCUGUGAAAACAGAGCAACAGCAGUUUUCAACACAAUUACAGAAGGUAUGAUUGAGAUGAGUUGAAGUUUUUAGGGAGGCAAAGAAGAAAUGGUGAAGAACCCAGAUUAAAUUAUCACGUUAGAAACGACCCUCUCAGAUGAAUCCCUGUCUACCCAGCCUGCAGAAGAUAGUGGCUUGGCACUGGUAGUACUCUUGGCUUUGAUUCCCUAAGCCACUAGAGGAGGAAGGAAAGCACAUCUGUUUCCUUGGCUGUUCACUGACUUUGGUGGCACAGAUAAGAAACACUUUGAAUGAUUUCUAAAAUCUUAGCAAAAUGAAGUUUUGUCCAGGCCAGGUAAAUGGGAGAAGAAAUUACUUGAAUGAAAUGCUAACUUAGUUUGAAACAUUUCCUGUCUAUCAGCCUCUCUUUUUGCUUUUUCACCUAUAUCCCGUUUCAUCCACCUAGAUGCAUCUCUAAAUUUCAGGUAAGUACUAAACACAAAUCUCCAGGCGUUGUAUUGAAAGAAGAACAUGGUUAGUGUGCAUCAUAAUAAUGGCUUGGUAGUUGGACUAGAAGAUCUUAGAGAUCCUUUCCAACCUUCACGAUCCUAUGAUUUUAAGUUGUAUGGCUAAAUUAGAGUUGGGCAACCAAACUGCAAAUAGUCCUGGCACCAUGGGGAGGGCUUAGCAGCCUGGGAUGGAUGAAGGGGGGCUAUGGGAGCUGGCACAGCCUCUUGCCAUCACUCUUCACCUCUCUUUGUGGUCUGUCUUCAUCAUUUCUGGUCAUUGUUGAAAUGGGUGAUUGUAAAUCACUUUGAAAUCCCUCAGAAAUAUGCAUGUCCUUGCCUAAGUGUGCAAUUUCCUCAUGAUCUGAAGUACUGUCCCCAGUCAACAGAUUUGUAUUAAGCAAUACUGUGAAAUAAUUUUUAAACAUUUCUGCCUGAUUGGAAAAGCAAUGUUUUGUUUCCUACUGCUGGCAUGGUACUCUAAUCUGCAGAAGAGAGAGGAUUUAGGAAUAUGUGCAAGCUAAUGACAAAUCUUAAGUACUAUAUCAAUAAAGACAUUAACAAAGUGAUGGAAAACAAGAGAGACAGGAGCCCUCCUGUCGAUCGCCUGACCCAGGACCUCUGUGGUAUUGGUGGGCGCUGAUGUGUUUCACCAUUGUGCCCCCAUUCCCAGUGUGAUGGGAUGAGGAGAUGUUGAUCCUGAACAAAGCAUCAGCCGAUUCAUUAGAAAACGAUUAUUGCCAGCCAGCAAGCUGUUGCAGAGUAAGCUAUUCAAUAAUGUAACUACUUUUAUAUUGCAGCAGAAAUGCUGUUUUAAAGCGGCACAGACCACUGCUAACUGUAUGCCUGAGAGACCCCAUGGAGAGCGGGAACACCAGAUGUGCACCAGCCCCACCAGCUUCUGGCUUCUUGGACAGAGGGGAGCUGUAAGAUCUCUCCCAGGACUUCCAUGGGCAUCACAGACUGCACUGGCACCAAGCUGGGGUGCAGAGCCUUAGGAGGUAUUCUAUAGCUUAGCAAGAUAUCCUGCAGGUGAGCCUGGGGCACUGCGGCAAUCAGAUCAACCUGAGAUGCUGGAGAAAUGCUGGGGCACAUUAAAGAUGGCACUCAACAAGAGAUGUGCAAAGUAAGAGAGGCUGGCAUCGUCUGAGAAAACAAGGACCAAGGCUGUAGCUAAAUGAUGGCAACAGAAAAUGAAAGUUUUCUUUCUAAGCCUCAGUAAACACGUGCAGCAGAGGCCAGGAAGAAAAGAACGGCUUGAUUUUAAACCACUGCUGGUGGAAUCUAAGCUGCUGGAGAUAUGAAUUAUUUUGGCUACACGUACAGCCUGUCAUGCAUUCCAAUCUGCCUUCCUUCUCAGCCUUCAGCGACUGUGGCACAACAAUUAGCUCCAUUAUCUGCAAUGGGACACAAGAUGCAGCCUCUGCAUUUCCACAUCAAGACACCGACAGCCAAUGCCUUGAUCCGACAUGUUCUGUUCAAGGACAGCUUGCAAGACAGCGUCUUGUCUCACACACCGUGAUAUGAGGUCUUCAUCCAUGGUUGAAAUACAGGAAAUGCUGAGAUGGAAAGGCAGUGCCAGAGCUGUGAAGGCCUCUCGCAGUCCGUUGUGUUGUAAACUGGGAGAAAACUCAGCAGGUGGGAAGUUCUUCCUUCCCAACACACUUCAGGAUGAGGGACAGCUCAUCUGAACUUCCUGAGGGAUUCUGAAUUUAGCCCUUCGCUCAGUAGUGUCACUUCAUAUGAGUAUAGUAAGUACAUAUUCUCAACAUAUACUUCCUUAAUAUGUACUGUCUAAUCAUUGACCUUUGUGUGAAUUAAUGUCACGGCUAAUCCUCAGUUUAUAAGGCAUUUGAAGAAAAAAAGGUAUCUACAAGUACCUUUUGUGUUCUCGUAUCUUUUUGCUAUUUUAAUAACUUUUAUGUUAUAGGUAGCGUCAUCUGUGUCAGCUAAACUGAACAUGUGGUCUGAAGUUACCUCACUGGCUUCAACUAAAAUAAAUGGUGUUUAUUUAAUUAAGGCACAACAGGAGCUGCUGCAUGUACACAUCCAAGGGCAGGAUUUGGAUCAUAACCUGUAUUUGUCCAUCAGCAGGACAUGGACAAUACAGAACAUCCAUUUAGUGUGAAGGACUUGCUGAAUACAUAUGCUGCUUGGCAUGCAUUUUCAUAAGCCUUUGUUCCCAAUGUACCCCAUCCUGUGAAGGUUGCUGAUAACAUCCAACAACAAGCUGCAUUUCUCUGAAAUGCAAUUGAGUUUUUGAAUUCCCAUUCAUUAAAAAAGAGUUGAACCACAGUUUUGUUAAAAAAUAUUAGCAGUAAUAAGUCUUUUCUAUAGAAUAUUAAUGCUUUGAACACAAUUUAGGUAUGUGAAAAAAACUGUAUAGAUCAUAUAUUAGUUCUAAAUUCUGUAGGCAAAUUGUUAUUACAGAGAGCAUAAUAAUGUCUAUUUUCUCACAUCAUACAGAUGGAAAUGGAUCUGGACUCUCCCUUCACUUUUUAUAGUAAAGCUCUUAUCUUGAUCUGUAGCAGCCCAGCCAAGAAAAGACACUGGAAGACCUCAUGGGCAUGGUCUCACGUCUUCAGGUUACAGGUAUCUGAGUGGGGCACUGAUAUUUUCAAGAGAGUCCUUUCCUCUCUCUUGGUGAUAUUAUUUCUAGGUUGGUCUACCAAGUCUCUCAGGCAAAGGAAGCUUGGAUCUUUCUUUCUAGCAAAUUAUAGAUCAGCCUGCUUUUCACAGAGGUAUCUUUACUGAAAUUCACAUGUGUAUGUCCCUGGUUUACAAGUAAAUAAUACGUUCAUUUGUAAGCAUGUAGCCGUAUAUUUGCAUUUGUACAAAUCUGUCUCUAUAGGUUUCACUUAGAAUGGUGACCACUUAAAGCAGUGUGUAAUUGAUCUGCCACGGAAAUUAGUUGUUUAUUUAUUAUGUAAGUAUGUCUUUUAUUAAAACUGCUUUGUGAAAAUCUAAUUGCUGCUACAGUAAUAUAGCAUAACAGUCCCCCACAUAAAUACAUGAUUAUUAUGUACAGUCACUUAUCUGUGAACGAGCUCUGCUAGUACUUUCCUUAAUUAAGGAUACAAAGGGCUCCUUCAUCUUUGCAUAUUCCCCUGCUAGGACAUUGAUACUCAUUAUUUCCUAAGUCCAAACACUGAAACUGUGUCAAGAAUGCAUCUAUCACUAGACGGGUACUUAUAGUCAGCGGAAUUUUCAACUGCAUCAGCAAAUUCAGCAAUUUGCAAUUUCUGUAUGUCUGACGUGUUUUUAUUGGCGAAGAUCACUUUCAAAUACCAAGAUCAUGAGAAUGAUUCUGUGGUUAGUCUCCUCAGCAGUCGAAUGUAAUGACAGUAAUUAACAGCCUGUGAUUAGCAGCCACUCCAGAAAGUCUUUGAAUGUUAAUUUGCUUCAACUAAUAUGCAGCACUUCUGUGUAAUGAGAUCUAUGCUAUAGGUUCAGAGUGAAAGCAAAUUAUUUUCCAGCAUUUAAUCAUACAAAUGAUUCUCAGUUAAUCACUUGAACAGUAAACCUCAACGUUCUAAUAAGUGACAUUUGUUUUUCUGUCGUUUGAUUUAUUGCAAAUAUAGGUGAUGGUAUGGUAUAUCAAGCACUAUUUCUUCAAAAAAGGUCAUGAACAUACUUAAGACAUUUCUUUGGAUCACAGUGUAACAAAGAUGAUCUGAUUUUUUUCUUUUCAGAACAAGCAAUCUUCAUCUCCUCUUUGUCCUUUUCUUUUUGGUUCUUUACCCUCUUGUUUUCUUGGGGUACCUUUCAGUAUGGCACAGUUACUGCCAGACUUUUGCUCUCUUUUCAGACUGUAGAUUCCCAGGAAUAAAAACAAAACAGUAUUGAUUUAGCUUGUAUCUCAAUGCACUUGAACAGAGUUGAAAAGAAACAAGAUUAAAAGGAGUUGUAAUUGCCUAUGAAUGAAAGAGACCAUGAGGAAAUCACAGCAGAUUAAGACAGCACCCAUGCAAAUCUCUAGAUUUGUUUUUAUAUCAUAUAUGGUAAUAACUACUAUCCAUUCUGGAGAAUGUUUAACCUAUGCUCUAGAUGGAGAAUUCCAACAUGAUAGGAAAAAAAGUGAUUAAUACAAGAGUAUAAACUGUGGAGCAAACCUUUUCUGUUUUCUUCCAGCUGCUGGGACAAAUAUUUAUCAUGGGCAUUGAUACUAAAGGUUGCUUUCCUCCAUGGCUGUGCUUAGAAAUACAUGACAAGUGUCUUCCAGCCUUCCUGUUGCCAUGAGAGGAACGCUAAAAUCUUUAGACUUCUGAGUGCCACAGGUGAUACCUGCAUACCUACCUCAGAGAGUCAAGGCGAAGGGAGUUGCAGUCAUAGGGUGCAGCUAGUAGGUGGCAGUGGACAUCUGAUCAGUGCUAUCAGCUCAGGGAUGCUGACGGUCUGCUUGUUUUCUCCUUGUAGAGCUCUCUGCAUCAGUGUAGUCCCACCGUGAGCCCUGAGGCUCACAAAAAGCAUAUGGUAGCAGCACAGUGUCUUUUACUUCAGACACCCUUGGCACUGCACAGGAAACUUUACCUGACACUGUGUAGAGCCCAAUUCCUGGCUAGGGAAGGGAUGAGCAGGGAGCACAGAUCUGCUCCACAGACUGGUGCCUGCCAAUAGGGACAGGUUUGUGGCUUUUUUUAGCAUCCGCCAGCCAGCACAAGGAAGAGAAGAAUCUGAAAGUCAGCAUUCCUGUAGAUAGGUAAAAUGAAGGGGAAUGGAUUCUAAUCUAAUUGUAAAUGCUCUGUUUUUAAAGCACUUCUUGUCAAUAAAUCCUUCAAUUAACAGACAUGCUGACAGCCCAAAGUAUGGUUAAAUCAGUAGAUUGCCUCCAGUUGUGAUGCAUUUUCACCUCUCAAUGUACAAAAAAUUGCAGAAAGUAACACAUUGACUUGGCUGAUGUAAAAAUGUGUUCGGUCUUCAAGAGCUCUUGUUGGCAGAAAUACACAGGAUUUCACAGGCUGUGGCAUGUUUUCACCUUUCUGCCUUUUACAUCAAGCUUAACACCUAAGGAGGAUCCUAUCCAGAAACCUAACUAGAGAUAAGAAGCAUUGAGACUCCAAGGUCUUGACACACAGUUAUGCUUCUUUUGCCACUGAGUUGCUGGGUGGGUUUGGGCAAGACAUUUUCCAGUCAUCUAUUGAAGGAAAUUAUGCUACUCCUUCCCAAGAAAUAAGUAACAUCAGUUAAUAAUUAUUUCAUAUUUUUACACAUUUGGAACAAGCUACGAAGAGGUAAGCACUGUCUUUUUUCCCCACCAUAUUUUUUUUCUAUCCACCAUAAAGUCAGUCACAGGAGACAAGCCAAGUUAUGUUCCUAGGAAAAUUUACCGUGUAUUUCUGCCCACUGUCCCUUUUUCUUCAAACUGCUGCCAGCCAUGUGUAGGUAAGGAAUAGGCUUAGCUUUGUAUUGCUUUGCUGCUGUCCAGCCCUCAUUCUCCUUCCACCGUUCUGUGGCCCUGUACAGGCUACUAUAUCCUAUCUGGAUAUUGAAAACUGGGACCACAUAUUCCUUAAUCCCCAUAUUAAACUAAGGUCUAAAUUAAUCUCCUGGGCCAUAUUCAGGUUGCUCAGGAGUAAAUCUAUUUUUUCAAUUAUUAUUCUUUUAAAUUAGAAAUGAAAAACAGUUUCUGAAGCAGUUCAGCUCCUGAAGCACUUUCUUCUUCUUUCUUCUUUCCAUUUAUUUCCUCUGUUUGUAAUCUUUUUAUUACAGGCGUGCAGCUCCAUCCACUUGUAGCAGCAUUCCUCCAGUGCUAUCAUGAGAUUCACUGGUGAUGUUCUGUAAAUGCCAGCCAAAAUCUAUCUGCAAGAACAUCUGCUCAACAGUGCAAAACUGAUGUAAUUACCAACCAUCAUCUUUUAUCCUCCUGCUGGGGCAACUGCUCCAAAGCAUGACUUUUUGCCCUGAGCUAACAAGAUCCAGAGGCUCGCUGCUAUGUACAAAUCCCGCCGCUGAAAACUAACAUGGCUGAUACACAAAUUCUCACAGGAUCUUUCAGCUGCGAGGGGUAACACGUACCCAAACAAGCUUCACCGUGGUCAGUGGAGGAGCCCCAAACUCAGGAUACCCGCAACACACACCUGGAAAUACUGCAGCAUGGGCAGAGAAGUGAAGGUAUUUGAAAGGAGACCAGAAAGGAAGUUGCUGUGACCACACAGUUACUCACCAAGAGCCAGCACCGGCUGGGAAGCAAACAAAACCCGGUGUGCAGUGCAUUUCUUUAUGCUUUAGCAAAUCUUGAGUGGUAGCAAACACCUCGUGACGUUUGGAUUGAAGAGGACUGCGUGGGCUCUAGGGCUUCAUGCACUGGAUAAGCAGCCCCAAGUAUUUCAAGGUUGCACUCAACUGCCUGGACAGGAACCCGAAGUCUGCUGUCAGUGCCUUUGCUGAGAUCACGGGAGAGUAACGGGAGACAAAGAUCAAUCUGCACCCCAGCUGCACGAUGCUGGCUGCCAGGGGGGAUGCAUGCACUGGGCUGACAUCAAGAGGUGAGCAGGGCACGCACCUGUGUCAUACACUGGUCUGACUUCACUGACCGGAAAGGAGGAUGGAGCCUGAAAAUGUAAAUGGAGCAACGAAUAGGACAAGGUAUAUUCUAUAUUGGAUCUCAGCUUCAAAUUACUGUUAAAUGCGUACUGUAGGUUGGACGUAACCCAGCCUGACACAGGCUGGACAGGGUCACCAGGACCUGCUUUCCUGUGACCAGAAAGCAGGAGUGUUAAAAACGUAUAUGUUGGUAUUUAAAAAUCCCAUAAUACUCUCUAUCAGAUCCCAAUCAUUUCAAACCAGCAAGUACGGAGGGCAUAUGUGUAAAUCUAUAUCUGCAAGCAAUGUGCAGGUAGUUAAUAACAGUGCCUCCGAUGCUACAGUUACCCACUGCUCCCUUGGCACACCUUACUCCAAGGCCAUGGGGUGGGUGGUGCCAUUGUGACAGCCACAGGAAGCAGCAGAACACAUCACCUCACGGAGCUGCCUGCCCAUACUGGAGUUUUGCAUGCCUGUGACACACCAACCACAUCACCCUGAGCUGAGGGUCACUGUGAGUUUGGCCCUCUGCAAGACAAAGCAUCCCUCUUUCGCCUCUCUUUAACAUGGAAUUGCCAUUUGCAGUGCAGUGACUCACGCAACUCCCUUCAUCUCAUUAUCUGAAGCUCUGAGUCCUCCAACGAUGAACAAAAGGAAAAGAAAGCAAGCAGGCAAGAAUGAAAAACAGAACUAGCUAAAUAACUGGCAGUGUUUCGGGAGAAGCCCAUCCUAUCGCAGAGAGCGACAACAGCCUCGGUAUUAUGAUUUAUGGAGUGCUGGUGUCACUCUAACAAGCUGAAGGACACACAAUAUCAUCUCCAACAUCAUUAAAAUUCAGAAGCCUCUAGAACUAACUCAUCAACCACCGCGCAUUGUCACACGCUAUGGAGCUGAGCUGUUCCCCACUUGGAAAAUGCCUUCCGGACAGUCGUCAUCCUGAAUCAUCUGAUUAAAAGGAUACAAAGAGAAGGAACGGAAAGGAAAGGGGGAAAGAGAGAGAAGCCAAACUCCACGGACAUUCUGGAAAUGAGGGACCUGCAACGGUUUCAUUCCCAUAGCAGAGCGGUGCUAUUAGUUCCUAUCACCUACAACAAAAUGAGUUCUCUGCCUUCUUCUGUUGCUGGAAUACGGGAGGCCCAAAAAGCAGGAGGUCUCCUGGAAAUAGCUGCUCCGUUCAAACCGCAGCUAUGAGGCCGCGACACGAUAAGCAAAAGCCGUGCAUUACUUUAGCUCAUGCUGUACCACGAAACUUCUAUUUUAUUGAAGUUCGGCUGUGCGCUCUGCCUCAGACCGCAGCUGUCCCUCCAUCCCAGGCGCCCGUUCUCCCUCCUUUUCCGCAGAAAAAGGCCAAACCCGCGCUCCCGGCACCGCGGUCCCACAAAGGCUAAAGCAGAACGGAUGCGGAUCCGGCCGCCUCCCUGAGCCCCGGCCCGGCCCCGCGCCCCCCGGCCCGGCCCCGGCUGCGCCCCGGAGCGCGCGGUUCCGCGGUACGCGGGCGCCCCCUGUCGGCCGCCGGCGGCAUGGCAGGGAGCGGGCGGCAGUCCCGGCGGGAGGGGGGGGGGACGUCCAGGAGGCGAGGCGGGCUGCAGUGAAAGCCGCUUGGAUGCGCUUUAAAGAAUGUUUAUUUAUUUACUCAUUAAUUGUUUUAUUUCUAGGUGCGUGCCUACAGUUCCCGUAAGGCAGCUGUUAUUUCUUGCACUGGUUUGUGGGAGGUAACGUAUUGUUGCUCUGUUUUCUUAUACAAAUGCAACCAAACAUAGAAACAUGCACUGUGCACACAGCUCCCUUUCCACUCUGCAGGAGUGCCCCGUGUGUAAGGACUGCCAGGCAGGUGUUGGGUCACUGCAGUUAUCAGUGAGCAGUUACGAUGAGCUCCAAAUGGGCCCAAGGUACAGCGUCACACACACAGUGCUCUUGUUUGGUGUAAAUGUACUCCUUUUCCCUCCGAAUUUGGAAAUAACUAAACAUUAAAAAAAAAAAAAAAAUCUUUGAACACCCUUGAAAACGGCACUUGAAGAUAUAAAAUAGUCCCUAAAUUAUUUUUCUAAAUAAGUUUGAAUAUAGUGUAUAGGUUACUUUUAUCCUAAAUGACCCUGAGAGCUCCCCAGGUUUACCUCUUGCACUGAAGUAAGCGUACCCUCGAGGAGAUCUGUCUCCCAGCCCCGGCUUGCACUGAUGCACGGCAGAAGCAUGCUCAGCAUAAACAGGGACACAGUAACACCUGGAAGUCCCUGAAUGAAAACCACCACAGAAGUACAAGUAGGCUCUCUGUGUGCUGAGUGUUGUGUGCCCCUGUUGUCUGGGUGGCUUACAGACCCUCUAAACAUCCUGCAGGACUCCAUCAGCCCUGCAAAGUGCUGCUCCGCUGUGCGCGGCAGAGUAAAAUCUAAAAGAAUGAAUUAUUUCAAGCUGUAUGAAGUGAUUAUAAUGUAUAUAUCAAAAAGAUGAAAUAUUUUCCAUAUCGGUGCAAAUACGCAUCAGGCAAUGGCUUGUUAAAGCAGCUGAAGUUGUUUAUAAUUUGUUGCUUGUAUUUUUAAUAGCACCUUAUUUAUAAGAAAGGAGGAAAGGUCUCUGAUUCCCAGCAUCGCCAAAAACGCCUGAUUGCAAAAUCCAAUCAAUCCUAAAAUUAAAAUUAGGAGACAAGAGCAGCAUGAAAGCAAUUCCAUUGUAAGUCGGCGUUCAGAUGUUAUUGAUAGGAAAGCGAACGCAAUACAUUCUGCUCUGUCACCAGCUCCCGGCCCAGAGCAAUUUGCCGACCAUCAAACCACCUCGGCAGCGGCACCAGGAGCCCUGCCGGGCCUGGAAAUCCCACUUGUCUGCAAGUGCACAACGUACACAGCAAAUCUCCAUAAAGCGCGGUGCCACAGUUGAAUGCAAACACUCCUCAGGUCCUGCUGUGACUUGGCACACCCUGUUGGACAGCUGGAAACUGAGAGGAAGGGAGCUGCUGCCAAUAACGCCGUACAGGGGAUUUCAGUGCGAAGUUUCCUGGAAACAGGCGGCGACUGGCAUUAUUACUUUGCUGGAGGAUACUGGUGUGGUAUAUCGGAUAUAUACAACCGUCCGUGGUUGCCCUUGUUAUACAUAAGACGUGAUAUAUGGUAAAGCAGGGUGCCUUUCUGGGAUGAUCUGUGUGCUUGGGCUGGGAAUUAAGCCUCGAACAAAACAAACGGAACUCAUCCCAGCCGUACGUGUGGCCUCCUGUAAUUCUGGAAAGCAGAUAUUGCCCUAAGUGACAUUUUAUGACGCGUAUCGAAAAGAUCUAGCUUGCUAAGGGCCGUGAUUGUGUAUCUCACACCUCUGCAGCUGCGGUUUACUGUAGAUAGAUUGCAUACAGUAACUCUUUCAUUUUCCUUGGAGCCUCUCGCAAUGAAGUGCUACUGGCGAUCAUUAAAACAAGAUUGUGCUUUUUAUGUAGCUUGAAUACAUAAAUGAUACUUAUCUGCAUUCCAGGGUAAGGAAUGCUUGAAAGACAAUUCACGGAUAUAAAUGGAACGGCUAAAUUAGGGCUUGGCACACUCUGUCAUAAUUAGCCUAAUGUGAUAUAAUUUUUAAUGUAAGGAAGGUACGUUUUCCAACCCUGCCUAAAAGCCCGGCGCUCUCUAUGUGCUGUAAUAAAUUAAUGCAAUAAAAACAGGUACGCUUAUCCCGUAAAGAAGCUUAUUAAGCAGGCUGCUGGUGCUGCAAAAUUCAGCGUCCGGCAAACAAUACUUUUUUGUUAGAAUAACGACGCGUGGUUUAUUCUUUUAUACCAUGCAGCACUUGGGAAUCUCAUCCAUUUACCAAAAUAAUACCAAAUUAGUACCGCAAAUAUUGAAAUCAGACCUUUCAGACUAACCAGUGGCCUAAUUUUCUCUUCAAUCUGCUCUUAAUCUCAAUUCAUCAAUAACGCUGCCUUAUUAUGGGACUUUGACAGCGAGCUAGGGCUUUUGAUAAAUUAUACAUCUCAAGCCAGAUUUAAAAUUUGAAGCUCAAGUGCUAAUUAUCUGUACAGGCCUAGUUAAUAACGAGAUUUCUUGUUAAGUAUCUGAUCACAGCAUGGGCAUCAUUUGUCAAGAACCUCAAGUCUACCUUGGAGACUAGCUCUUCGAAUUCUCCCUUGCCUACCAUAUGUAAAAUUGGGAUCUUUGUUUCUAUAAUAACCUUUUAUUAGGAAGCUGACAUAAUGAUUAAGUUCGCUGUAGACACAUACAAUGAGUUAGACAAUUACCCUUGCUGCUUUAAACUACUCAGGCUCCUAGCAAGACAAAAUAAUUAAUAUUGAAUUUUAAUUUGAUGUGUUCCACAUUUAAACCCCAAUUUGCAAAGUACACCUGGAAGGCUGCCGCUGGUUCCUUGCAGUUUGUGCUGAUGAAAUAAAGGCUCCUGCCGCUCGGAUGUAAAAGCACAGAAGGCAUGAUGCACCACAAUCACUUCUCAGUGGAGCAAAGAAUUUUCUAGCAUUAAUGGGAAAGGUAAUUACCUAGGUCUAACUUUAUAGCCUUUUCUCUAAUGAAACUAUAAUCUCCCAGGCCUACGUGCUUUAAGCAUUUACAUGAUUUUAACGAUUUCGCUGCCAUAACUGUUGUCACACGUGGCAAUUUAAGAACUCGGCGCCUCAAAACAAAGAUGCUAAUUAUAUUUCUAUAUUUUUAUUAUUGAAAUAAAACCGGACUGUGUGAAGUGACAGAGCUAUAAUAAAGCAGCCCUUUGCUGCACUGCCAAAGUGGGAGGGGGCCAUAUCCGUCUGCAGGAGUAAAGGUCCCCAGGAGCUUUUCCCACCAUCCCUGUGAGCCGCACUGAGAGUUUUAAUUCCUCCAAGUGUUGUUAAGGGGGCAAAGCACGCAAAAUAUGCUUGGUCACUACAGGGGCAGGCAAAGCCCCAUUGUAACAAGUGUGUCAUCAGCCCCUUAUGGAUGGUUUUCCAGCAUUGCCCCUAGUGUGUCCUGGCCCCCACGCUCCUGCACGGCAGCACCACUAUUCUGAUGGCAAAACCCACACCACAGCUGGCACAGCCUCCUGUGUGCGGAUGAGUCUGAGCGUGGGAUGCCUGGGAAUAGGCCUGCAGGGCUGGACAGCCCCACAGUCUGUAGGGUGUAACCAGAGCGUGGUUCCAGAUUUCCAGAGCAGUGCUGGGUGACUGCCAGGGCUGGGUUGGGAUUCCCACCCAGCUCGCAUCAUCUGCUAUUCUCAGCAGUAUUUCCCUCUGUCUUGCACUACUAGGCACUGCUAUCAUCAUAUGAGAUGGUCUGGGGGCGUGUUGCACCAUCAGUAAGUCUGCAUUCCCAUUGACAUCAGGGGCUAGGACUUCAUUGGGAAUACUGCUUGGAUCAGACAUGGUAGGGAUGGGUGCCUGACCUCAGCCUUGGCUGACAUCUGCAUUUGAGCACCUCACUUCUCUAACUGAACUGAAGUCAUCACUGCUGCAGUUUCCAGGAUAAUCUAACUUGAUGUUCAUCAUUACAAUACAGCUGUAUUUGCCAAUACACUAACUACAAGCAGAGAUUGGAUCUACAUCAAAACACAAAUUUCCCAAAAAGGCAGGUGUGCAAAUGCCUAAUGCAGAUACCUCCUAAUUGUUAUCAGCUGUAUGAAACGUGAAAUAAGAAUUUUAAACACAAAAAUCAGAAGCCACUUUCCUAGCAGAGAGGUGAAGCUCAAUGCCCAUUUAAAGUGUG